rnacentral:rRNA from 1 species
GAGUUUGAUCAUGGCUCAGAUUGAACGCUGGCGGCAGGCCUAACACAUGCAAGUCGAGCGGUAGAGAGGAGCUUGCUUCUCUUGAGAGCGGCGGACGGGUGAGUAAUGCCUAGGAAUCUGCCUAGUGGUGGGGGAUAACGUUCGGAAACGGACGCUAAUACCGCAUACGUCCUACGGGAGAAAGCGGGGGAUCUUCGGACCUCGCGCCAUUAGAUGAGCCUAGGUCGGAUUAGCUAGUUGGUGAGGUAAUGGCUCACCAAGGCGACGAUCCGUAACUGGUCUGAGAGGAUGAUCAGUCACACUGGAACUGAGACACGGUCCAGACUCCUACGGGAGGCAGCAGUGGGGAAUAUUGGACAAUGGGCGAAAGCCUGAUCCAGCCAUGCCGCGUGUGUGAAGAAGGUCUUCGGAUUGUAAAGCACUUUAAGUUGGGAGGAAGGGUCGUAACCUAAUACGUUACGGCUUUGACGUUACCGACAGAAUAAGCACCGGCUAACUUCGUGCCAGCAGCCGCGGUAAUACGAAGGGUGCAAGCGUUAAUCGGAAUUACUGGGCGUAAAGCGCGCGUAGGUGGUUCAGCAAGUUGGAUGUGAAAGCCCUGGGCUCAACCUGGGAACUGCAUCCAAAACUACUGAGCUAGAGUACGGUAGAGGGUAGUGGAAUUUCCUGUGUAGCGGUGAAAUGCGUAGAUAUAGGAAGGAACACCAGUGGCGAAGGCGACUACCUGGACUGAUACUGACACUGAGGUGCGAAAGCGU